rnacentral:rRNA from 1 species
UACGUAGGGUGCGAGCGUUAAUCGGAAUUACUGGGCGUAAAGCGUGCGCAGGCGGUUUUGUAAGACAGGCGUGAAAUCCCCGGGCUCAACCUGGGAAUGGCGCUUGUGACUGCAAAGCUGGAGUGCGGCAGAGGGGGAUGGAAUUCCGCGUGUAGCAGUGAAAUGCGUAGAUAUGCGGAGGAACACCGAUGGCGGAAGGCAAUCCCCUGGGCCUGCACUGACGCUCAGUGCACGAAAGCGUGGGGAGCAAACAGG